ensembl:lncRNA
CGGAUGGACUUUUUCACUGAUGGACUGGAGUGGUGUGGAUUACUUCUGGAUUAUUGAGAUGUUUUUAUCAGCUGUUUGGACUCUCAUUCUGACGGCACCCAUUCACUGCAGAGGAUCCACUGUGUGACAUCAAAUGGAAUUUCACUAAGUUCCUCAUCGACCGUGAAGGCCAGGUUGUGAAGAGAUACUCCCCAGUGCAGGAACCAAGCAUACAUUGCUCAGCUUCUAUUAAUGUUUGAUUGUAUUUCAAUCUGGUUCGAGUCAUAAACUAAGGCAUGUUUAAGAUAAGCUACAGUAUCUAAAUAUCACAGUGAUAUUGUGCAAUCCCUCCUGAGAGCAUCAUCAGUGUCCAGCAUCACUCUGGAGAGAGACCCCCGUUUCUUCAGCUGCCACUAUGCUUUGAAAUGAAAUUA